GAAAUAAAGAACAUAUAGGUAUUACAAUUGAUAUAGUUUUUCUCAAAGUUAUAACAACAUAUGGUACCAUGCAACACCUCACGCCUGGAGAGUUUAACAUGUCGACAAUUAGUAAAUGACCUCGAAAUCGAUAUGCCUUCUUAGCGGAAUACGUUACGCGUCCGUAGAUGUCUGCGAAAUUAAAGCUACACGCUUGAUCUUCAGUCUAUCUUUAUUAUGAUCGUUUUGUUGCCUCCGUGUAUGUGUUCUACCAGCUAAUUAAGCGUGUUACUCGUCUCGAGUUUGUAUCCUAUCGUAUCGAAA
rnacentral:misc_RNA from 1 species